CCCCACCUCCUCUCUCCCUCUGCAGCCGCCCCUUCCUUCUCUCUGCCCCGAUCUCUCUUCUCUCACUCCUCCCCCGUCUCUCCUCCCCCAUCCUCCUCGUCUCUCCUCCCCAUCCUCCCCGUCUCUCCUCCCCCAACCAGCCACCAACGGCCUAUCCCUUCCCUCCCCGGAGCCCCUCCUCUCCUUCGAGCACCGGCCGCCAACGAAGGCCGCUGGCCCCAGAUCCGGCAGCCCCAGCCCCGGAUCCGGCGGAUCCGGCCGCCUCCGGCCCCUGCCAUCACCGCUAAGUAUCUCCCCCUCUCUCGGUUCUCUCUUGGUUCUCACCCUGCUCUUUCUUUCUCUCCCUUUCCUGCAGACGGGGAGGGCGCCGCUGUGGACAGCUCGCGACGCCAUGGAGGAUCCGGCCCCGGUCGUGCCCUGCGCUGCCUCUUCCGGUCUUACAUGGGGUCGUCGCCGGACCAGAUGAAUUUCUACGUGCUGGGCGGAUGUGUUGAUUUACAUGUUGAUAUUUGUUUCUGUGAUUUGUUUGUGUACAAGAUAAACAGAUCGUGAUUUACAUGUUGAUACUUGUUUCAUAUAUGUCGAUCUAUGUCUGGAUUUUUUUCUUAUGUGUCGAUCUAUUGUAUCCAAAUUUGUUUCUGUGAUUUGCUCCCAAUUCGAUCUAUUGUAUGUUA